rnacentral:misc_RNA from 1 species
AACGCAAAUUGCACUCCCUGGUAUUCCGGGGAGUAUGCCUGUUUGAGGGUCGUUAGAAUAAAAAUCGAGGCGUUGCUCUUUUUUUUAAGGGUGAUCGUGUCGGAAUUGAGCCGUCUUUCAAAUGUUAAUUCAUGUCAAAGUGGCUUAAAAUUUCAUCCAUCCGGUACGAUUAAAGCGUAUUUAAGAUCAAUUUUGAUUAAGAACGCGCGAUGACGUACCAUCUCAUGUAGUACGUUUGACCUGGCGUCGUCAGGAUCAUUCGUAUAAGAUACUCAAACUUUUGACCUCAAAUCAGGUAAGAAUACCCGCUGAACUUAA